AUGAUGCAUCGGAAGAAGCGGGGAUGUGGGCCAGGGUGCCCCACGGGCAUCGACUUGAAGCCACUUGUUUUCAAAUAGGAAGCUCAUGAAAUAAUUGCAUCUUGCGUCCUUCACCCUUGUUUCCUGCAUCCCCAGCCCAGCCCCCACCGUUCUGCAGAGGACACGUGGCCCCUGUGAGCCGCAGCGCAAAGAGAAGGCUGGAAUCCGGUCCCGGUUCCUCGGCACCUCGCAGCUGUGUGGCCUUGGGCCGCUCGGAACAGUACGCUCUUCCUCCGAGACCACCUCUGGCUUAGGGCCUGGCCUAGGUGGGUGCCCCCCAGGUGGCUGGUGCGCGGGAGGCUGGUUCUCGUUCUACAGUCUUCCCCAGCAGCCAUCCCACUCCUGUGGACCCCCAUGAUUUUCAGCAACCAUCCAGACAUGCCUGGAAUGCCCGGGAAGAGAAAUUUCAAAAGCCCAAAUAUUUGGCUCAAAGAAGAGGGAAAAACUGACACCACCUCCCCCCCGCCGCUGACAUCUCUCCAUCACUACCAAGGCCGAUGUUGGAGGCACUCCACGGAGUGAACAAGAGCCCGGCCUCCUGACUCCAGGUCGCCCCAAACCUGGACACGAUUCAUGUGCCAGAGCUCCCCCCCACCGCUGCAGGAUCAGGCGGAAGCAAGUCGCCAGCAGAGACCACAUCCUCGCUUAGCUCCUUCCCCUGCCCCGGCCGCUUCCUGCACUCUUCUCCUGAGAGCUCCUUUCCAAUAAACCACUCAAAUGAGCAUCUCUAUUUCAAGCUUUGCUUCAGAGAAGCUAUGCUGAGCCCAGCUUUGAUUUACCUCCGUGGCGAUUCCUGAGGACUCCCUCUGAACGAUGCCCCACCCCAGACAGGGGUAAGAAGCAGCCCCGGCAUCAUUCGUGGAAGUUCUGCUCGUUGGAUAUACGUCCAAGAUGGCCAGAGCCAGGGGAAACCUUAGCCAACAUAGAGCUCCGUACUUCCUGGAGCGGGUCCUGAGGACUAUCAAGAAAGCAGACAAAACCAGGAUUCCAAAAACUCGGCAAACCCAAUUUUAUGUUUAACCAAGAACCAAAAACAAAAUGUUUAUUAUUUUUCUUUAAAUUGACUUAAAGCCCAUGAUGACAUCAUGUAAAAGGUGAACAUCUAGUGAAUCCAUUUGAACCAGAACAGAGACUUUCUUUGCUUAAAAGUGAGGCGUCUUAACAAAACAUUCGCUCGCUCUGUUGAGCCUCGUACGGAGUCCCCACCACAUACCAGGAAUUGGCGACACAAGGGUAGAAAGACAGGCGCACUCCCUGCCCUCCCAGAGCUCAGACUCUGGUGGGAGGACUCCAGAGAAGAAAGCGGGUGAUUUUGAGCCAGGCCAAGGAGUGUGUUGCUGGGGUCGGACAGGUGUCCUUGACACUGGGAGGGGCCUUCCGUUCCCAAGCAGGGUGAUAGGAGGCUGAGGACAGGAAGCGGAGCCUGGAGUAUGGGUCACAGCCAGCCCAAGGAGAGAAGGGAGGCCUGGUAAGAUUGUUGCAGACAGACAGCAGUACAUGCAAGGAACCUGCUGAGGGCAGCUGAGAGGUGAGCGCACGGCCCAGACCAGUAGGCACUAGAUGUUGUCCCAAAGAGGCGGGCCUUUGCCGUGACAGUGCUGGGGAGCCAGCGAAGGCCCUAGACAGAGGCCUGAUCAGAUCGCAGUCCCACUUGGUAUCGAUGUACUCUCCAAAAUGCACUGGACUAGAAACGUGUACUUCAAGCAUGAUGAGCUCUGGUUCUCGCCGGGCUGUGUGGGCACAAGGAAGACCCAACGCCAUACAAUCUCCAGGUCGGGCAGAGACUCCAGCCCCAGCGGGGACGCUCACAUGCAGAGGGCAGCUGGGCUCCGAGAGCCAGCACCUUCUGAGCAGCCCCGAGCUUCUGCCUCCGCAGCAGUCCCUCUCCCCAGGGGGGAAGGGGCCCCUUGAUCUGGGAACCAGGAUGGGCUAUUGAUUUCACAGCCGGCACAGGAGACCACGUACCGCUGGGGAACGUCACAUAUGUGACCAAGAAGAAAUGAAAUAGAAUCACAAACGCUUCCAAGAACCCCUUCCUCAUCCAACAAGGAAGAGGAAUCCUUUGUAGGGUUCCGACAACUUCAGGAGGAAAUACAAAUGGAAGAAGAAAAGAGGAAGCAAGAGUGCUUAGCUUGAGGGUGCCUGGGAGGCUCAGUUGGUUAAGGAUCUGUCUUCGGCUCAGGUCAUAAUGGGAUCAAGCCCCGCAUUGGGAUCCCUGCUCAGCAGGGAGUCUGCUUCUCCCUCUGCCCCUCCUCCUGCUCGUGCUCUCUCUCUCUUUAAAGACAUAAAUAAAAUCUCUUAAAAAAGAAAAAAGAAAUCGUUUCAUUUGAUGGGCAGGUGCCUGGAGAGGGAAGGUGAGGGGUUUGCAGAGAGAAUGGCUGGAGUGGGAGUUUGGGGAAGCUCUGUCCUACUGGACCAA